AAAUGUCCAUAUCCCACUCCCUCCAUCCCACACCCUAAGCACCACCCGAAGCACCCUCCCAAGGUGAAACCCUACCCUAAGCCCAAACCUCACCCUCCAAAGCCACCAGUAGUUGGCCCUCCUAAACCUCCUCCGGUUGUCCCACCACCACUCCCACCUGUAGUUGUUCCCCAACCUCCUCCCUAUGUGAAGCCUCCGCCUGUGCCGCCCGUUGUCGGUCCACCCAAGCCUCCUCCGGUGGUGUACCCCCCCGUGCCGCCUGUUGUCGGUCCACCCAAGCCUCCUCCGGUGGUGUACCCGCCCGUUCCGCCCGUUGUCGGGCCACCCAAGCCUCCUCCGGUGGUGUACCCGCCCGUUCCGCCUGUUGUCGGGCCACCCAAGCCACCUCCGGUGGUGUACCCACCCCAGCCGUGCCCGCCGCCGCCGCCGCCGCCGCCCAAGGAGACAUGCCCGGCGGACACGCUGAAGCUGGGAGCCUGCGUCGACCUGAUCAGCGGCAUGAUACCCAUUCGGAUCGGGGCGGACGCCAAGUCGACGUGCUGCCCGGUGCUGCAAGGCCUUGCAGAUCUCGACGCCGCUCUGUGCCUCUGCACCACCAUCAAGGCGAAGUUGCUCAACCUCAAUCUUGUACUGCCCGUUGCGUUGGAGUUGCUUAUUGGGUGCGGGAAGAGCCUUCCUCCCGGUUAUCAAUG
rnacentral:lncRNA from 1 species